GACGAACGCUGGCGGCGUGCUUAACACAUGCAAGUCGAACGGAAAGGCCCUGCUUUUGUGGGGUGCUCGAGUGGCGAACGGGGGAGUAACACGUGAGUAACCGGCCCUUGACUUUGGGAUAACUUCAGGAAACUGGGGCUAAUACCGGAUAGGAGCUCCUGCUGCAUGGUGGGGGUUGGAAAGUUUCGGCGGUUGGGGAUGGACUCGCGGCUUAUCAGCUUGUUGGUGGGGUAGUGGCUUACCAAGGAUUUGACGGGUAGCCGGCCUGAGAGGGUGACCGGCCACAUUGGGACUGCGAUACGGCCCAGACUCCUACGGGAGGCAGCAGUGGGGAAUAUUGCACAAUGGGCGGAAGCCUGAUGCAGCAACGCCGCGUGCGGGAUGACGGCCUUCGGGUUGUAAACCGCUUUCGCCUGUGACGAAGCGUGAGUGACGGUAAUGGGUAAAGAAGCACCGGCUAACUACGUG
rnacentral:rRNA from 1 species